UACAGAGGUCCCGAGCGUUGUUCGGAAUUACUGGGCGUAAAGCGCACGUAGGCGGCUUUGUAAGUUAGAGGUGAAAUCCCUGGGCUCAACCCAGGAACUGCGUCCGAUACUGGUUGGCUUGAAUCCGGGAGAGGGAUGUGGAAUUCCAGGUGUAGCGGUGAAAUGCGUAGAUAUCUGGAGGAACACCGGUGGCGAAGGCGACAUCCUGGACCGGUAUUGACGCUGAGGCGCGAAAGCCAGGGGAGCAAACGGG
rnacentral:rRNA from 1 species